AUAACAAGGGAGGGGAGGUAUCACCAAGAUUCCAAAAUAAUAUUCAUUCUCUUUCAAUCUCAACCCUUCAAGUCUACACAUCCAAGGGUCCAAAAAAUGUCCCUCUCACAAACUAUCUUUUGAAUGGCGGUUUGGUAAAUAAAUGGGAUUUUCAAUGGCAAGUACUGGGACUGUGUUUUUUUUCCUUGCCAGUACAAACAGGCCAUUGCACGGCUGAAUCUCUCUCACACACACGGCUGAAGCUCUCUCUCGCUCUUGAAUUCAAAAGCCCAAUUUUUGGAUUCAAAAUUCAAAUCUCUCUCUCUCUCUCUCUCUCUCUCUCUCUCUCUCUCGGUACUUCAUUCACGGAACACCCCCUCCAUCUCCGGCGUUGGCCCUCAUCAAGUGUGAAGAGGAAGAGAGAGAGAAUGUGAGUGUGUGUUUUAAAACGACACCGAAUCAGGAACCAUGGGGAACGCCAUUUCCAGUCGAGCCAGCAGCCGUCGGAGAUCGGCGAUGAGAUCGAUCGGGUUCUGAAGAAAGUUCAAGAGGGCGUCGAUCUUUUUGACAAUAUCUGGAACAAGGAACCACAGGAAACACCAUUUCCAGUCGAGCCAGCAGCCGUUGGAGAUCGGCGAUGGCGACCGCCGGGAAACCCCUCGCGGCCUCCUCCACUUCUGCCGAACCGUUCGAUUUCUCCGCAGGUGUAUUUUGUGUAUCAUAACCGAAGACUAGAAGGUAUUUUCUUUCCUCUUUUAUUUUCUUUAUUUUGCUGCACAGUCGAUUUUAGUUCUAAAUCAAUUUUUGCUUGAGUAAAAUUUUUGUUCAUUGUUGAAAAGGUCUGCAUGGUGGAUGUCCUAACCAGACUCAAAAACGGUCCUCUCAAGUGCAAUGUGAUUGGUUUAGAUUGAGAUUAGUUUUUGUGAGGGUAUUUGGCGAACCAUCGAUUCUGCAAAAAGUCGACCACUUCUGUUGCUCUCAGACGAAAUCGUGGGGUGUCCAAACCCAAUUAUUUCAGCAAAAUCUUACCGGUAUAGCUUUCAUAUUAAUUAGAUGGGUAUCAG